rnacentral:rRNA from 1 species
GUGCCAGCAGCCGCGGUAAGACGAACCGUGCGAACGUUGUUCGGAUUCACUGGGCUUAAAGGGCGCGUAGGCGGGUGAUCAAGUCCGGGGUGAAAGCCCCCAGCUCAACUGGGGAAUAGCCUUGGAUACUGGUCGCCUCGAGGGAGGUAGGGGCGGGUGGAACUUCCGGUGGAGCGGUGAAAUGCGUAGAUAUCGGAAGGAACGCCGGUGGCGAAAGCGACCCGCUGGACCUCUUCUGACGCUGAGGCGCGAAAGCCAGGGGAGCAAACGGGAUUAGAUACCCCAGUAGUCC